rnacentral:lncRNA from 1 species
GAUACCAUUAUUUUUGAUAGCUGUCCAUGGUAUUAUAUCAAUUUCAGAUCCACAAAGACCCACACAGUAAAUAGAACUUAGAAAAGAAAAAUUAAAUUGGUUAUUACUUCCUCAUUGGUCCUAAAAUUUUUUUCACAUUGGGGUUAAUAUUGUGCUGUGGGUUGUUUGGGUUACAAUUGGUCUGUUUGUCUCUAGUGAAAAGGAUGGGCCAGUUACAUGCAGACUAGAGGUUAAGAUAAGAUUUUAUCAGAACUAUAGUUCAGCUUCUUUAUUAAUCACUACCAGACUGAGGAUUAAGCAAAAAUAACUGUUCUUAAAAAAUCCCUGAAAGCCACUUAAUUUUCUUAAAGGGAAUAAGAUGUG